UGCAUUGCUGCAUGCAGAAAGGACACAAACACAGAGAAGUAGAAUUGUGGAUGUCACCCAUCAGUCUGCUCAUGGGGCAGAUUCCUGAUUCUGCAGACCUCUAAAUCUGGACUGACUCAAGAUCUGGCUGUUGUAUGUGGGUUUUGGUUCAGAUGCAUCUUCCCAUGGGACAAUCAUCUCUCCAAGCAAACUCAUCCUGAGUGAAGCUAAGAGGAACAGCCAGACACCAGCAGGAAUGGAUAAUGAGCUGUGGACUUCCCCCAACCAUCUGAGUGCUGUUCCCAGCCCGUUGCACUCCUCCUGCUGACACCCAAUGCCUGUUCUUGCCGUCGCCCCCACACCCGGUGUCAUUGCUGGUGCUGCCAUAUGGAGGGAUCAGUGGAUGACAUCCCCCAGACCCUUGGCCAUCCAAGACCCCAACGUGAGAAUCUGCUCCAGGGCUUGCAGACAGCCCCUAAGGCUCUCAGGUUUGCCUCCACAUCUGUGUUCUUGGCCUGAUACAAGGCAAAGAAGGGGUUUUGAGGGUGAAAUCCAAGUUCAGCCCCCUUGGGGUUGGAUAGGGCUUGUCUGGAGGGCAGCUCCAGCCAAAUAAAAGCCAUCCUUGGGUUUUCAUGGUUAACCCUGGUGCUGGAGGGACCUGUAGAACUCACCCAGGCACAGAGCAGAGCCUCAAGUUGUUAAUUACCCGGCCCAAACCCCCUGUCUGAGCAAAGCCAUCACAUCCAGCCCAUCCUUUGUAUCAGAAUCGAUUUUAUUUAGCAAAUCUCCAGAGCAUUAAAUGAAAA